UACGUAGGGCGCAAGCGUUGUCCGGAAUUAUUGGGCGUAAAGAGCUCGUAGGCGGUUUGUUGCGUCUGCUGUGAAAACUCGGGGCUUAACUCUGGGCCUGCAGUGGAUACGGGCAGACUAGAGUGCGGUAGGGGAGACUGGAAUUCCUGGUGUAGCGGUGAAAUGCGCAGAUAUCAGGAGGAACACCGGUGGCGAAGGCGAGUCUCUGGGCCGUAACUGACGCUGAGGAACGAAAGCGUGGGGAGCGAACAGG
rnacentral:rRNA from 1 species